CAGUAGCCGCGGGAAUACGUAGGGUGCGAGCGUUAAUCGGAAUUACUGGGCGUAAAGGGCGCGUAGGUGGUUAUGUAAGUGAGAUGUGAAAUCCCCGGGCUCAACCUGGGAACUGCAUCUUAUAUUGCGUAGCUGGAGUGCAGUAGAGGGUAGUGGAAUUUCCGGUGUAGCGGUGAAAUGCGUAGAGAUGUGGAGGAAUACCGAUGGCGAAGGCAGCCCCCUGGGCCAAUACUGACGCUCAUGCACGAAAGCGUGGGGAGCAAACAGGAUUAGAUACCCCAGUAGUCCCUGUCUCUUAUAC
rnacentral:rRNA from 1 species